UCAGAACUCAAACUAGCGUGGCCC
rnacentral:piRNA from 1 species